rnacentral:rRNA from 1 species
CAAUAGCGUAUAUUAAAGUUGUCGCAGUUAGAACGCUCGUAGUCGGAUUUCGGGGCGGGCCGACCGGUCUGCCGAUGGGUACGCACUGGUCGGCGCGUCCUUCCUUCCGGAGACCGUGCCUACUCUUAACUGAGCGGGGGCGGGAGACGGAACGUUUACUUUGAAAAAAUCAGAGUGUUUCAAGCAGGCAGUGCGCUCUUGCAUGGAUUAGCAUGGGAUAAUGAAAUAGGACUUUGGUGCUAUUUUGUUGGUUUCGAACACCGAAGUAAUGAUUAAAAGGGACAGUCAGGGGCACUCGUAUUCCGCCGAGAGAGGUGAAAUUCUCAGACCAGCGGAAGACGAACCACUGCGAAAGCAUUUGCCAGGGAUGUUUUCACUGA